UUAUCAUUUCAUUUAAAUUACUACAUUAUUAGCAGGCAGGUUUGACUGGCAAUAUAAAUUUUUAAUUUAUUUAUUUAGCCGUUCAUUAACAAGUCCUGUGCUUUAUAAUAUAUAUAAAGAUGGUAAGGACGUGAAGAAAACAGGUUUGUAAAUGAUGUUGUACAUCACGCAGAUAGCUCAGACAAAGAAGCAGGAAUGUUUGACUGGAAAUAUAAACGAUGUUGUACAUAAUGCAGAUAGCUUAGAGAUUGGUGAAAUGGAGAAUGAGACUAACUACGGUGAAAAAAAUAAUGAAUAUCAAAAUGUGAAUGGUACUUUGUUUGACAUAAAUGGGCUUGAUUUUUUCUUGAAUUGAAUAUGUUGUAUUAAUGGUUCUUUUUAACUUGUUAAAACUUGAAGUUAUUAUCAAAUUUAUAUAUACUAUUUUUAUCAAAUAGUUAAUAUAAUUUUAUUUUGUUUAUUGAUUUUAUUCGGAGAA